CCUACGGGAGGCAGCAGUAGGGAAUCUUCCACAAUGGACGCAAGUCUGAUGGAGCAACGCCGCGUGAGUGAAGAAGGCUUUCGGGUCGUAAAACUCUGUUGUUGGAGAAGAAUGGUCGGCAGAGUAACUGUUGUCGGCGUGACGGUAUCCAACCAGAAAGCCACGGCUAACUACGUGCCAGCAGCCGCGG
rnacentral:rRNA from 1 species